rnacentral:rRNA from 1 species
AUUCCAGCUCUGUAAGCGUAUACCAAAGUUGUUGCAGUUAAAACGCUCGUAGUCGGACGUUGGCGGGCGCCUCGAGUCGGCCUCACGGUCGAUCUUGUUGGCGACCGCCUUUGUGGAGGGGGGCUUAGGUCGGUGCUUUAUUGUCAUCCCUUUGUCGCUGCCACCGUUUACUGUGAAAAAAUUAGAGUGUUCAAAGCGGGCGUUUGCCAUGAAUACAUUAGCAUGGAAUAAUAGAAUAGGACCUGGUCCUGUUUUGUUGGUUUGUGAGUAUCAGGUAAUGAUUAAGAGGGACGGUUGGGGGCAUUUGUAUUCCGGCGUCAGAGGUGAAAUUCUUGGAUUGCCGGAAGACAAACAGCUGCGAAAGCGUCUGCCAAGGACGUUUUCAUCG